UGCAGUGCAAGAGCAAGGACUGUUCCAGGCUUGGCUGGGGCAGAAUUAGUAUGGGAAGAGUGGUAGGAAGAGCAACACAGAUCUCUCGUCUCUCAGAGUUACUCCUCUGUUUUUAACCAGAAGGACCAUUCUCAUGCCAGUACUCCAAAGACACUGCCAGAAUUAGCAGAUUCUGUGCUCUUGUUCUGAGAAUUUGAAGAAGGAUGAGCUAUGUGUUGGAUCUGUGUCUUGUAUAGCUGAAGGUGUUUGAUUUCAAGCAAGAGCAAACAAAUGUCUGUUUUUGGCAUUUUCUGCCUGAGUUAUUAACACAAUAUUUUCAUGCAUGUUGGAUGGAAAUGCCAGUCUCCCAUCCUUCAGACUUCAUGAGAAGACAGGAGUGAUUAUCCAUCUUGCAUGACCAGGAUGGCCUACCUGAGUGUAUGCUAAAUUCAGAUCAGCUCCUUACAGACCUCCUGCAUGAACUGGGCUUAAACCAACCUGUUUUUAUGCAGGGAUGCAAAUUUUCUUUCAAAAGGAGGUCUGGAAGACCAAACCGAUUUCUGAAAUAAGGUGAUGUGGCCAUGGACAAACAUAGUAUUACUUGUUUUAAAGAGUAGAAAAGUCUGACCUGCAAGCUGGUUGGGUUGUUAAUAGUAGUGUUACCAUUACACUAGAAAAUUUAGUUAAUAUAUUUUGCAGAGAGGAACACAGGCUUCUUUUGAUGCAAGCAAGGAUUUGCUCUCAUACCCAGGGAAAAAUAACUAACACUUUCCGUUAUAAAAAUGUAUAAAUACUGAAACACUUUCAGUUAAUAAUCACUUGUACGAUGUCUUGGGAUUUAGUUCUGCCCUCUCAACACCCUUCAUAAAGUAUGGUUUAAGAAAAAGUAAGUAAAAUUUUAUGUACUGCAUAAAGUAUACAUUAUAUUUCAAAUGAUCUUAAACUAUACCUUGAAUUGUGCUUUGGGGAAACAUAAUCAGAAAAGGCAGCAUCAUAGAAUGUGAGAUUGCUAAGGUAAAAUUUCUAACGUAAAACUAUACUUCCCUCAAGUAUGUUAUAGUUGAUGGAGUUAAAGACUGCUAAAAUCUUUUAGAAAGUCUUCAGGAAAAAGAAAGUAUUUACCUUGUCAUUAUGCUACUGCACUUGGAAGUAGUGUAAAAAGGCAUAUAUUUGGUUUGUUUGGGGGAAGGGAGAAUGGGAGAUCGGGAAGAAAAUCUCCUCAGGCUAAUUUGGCUAGCUGAGUUGUUUUUAGAGCUCAUCUCUUUCGGAGGGUAGCAGAGGUCAUGGAAACUGUGAUU